rnacentral:rRNA from 1 species
AGAGUAAAAGUCGUACAAGGUUCCGUAGGUGAACCUGCGGAAGGAUCAUUAUUGAAUUAUAAGCGAGGGUUGUAGCUGGCCUCCCUUUCGAGGCAUGUGCACGCCCGAGCCCUUAAAUCCACAACACACCUGUGAACCCACCGUAGGCCUUCGGGCUUAUGUAUCAUAUACUCUGAAYGUGUCAUAGAAUGUUCAUAUUGCCUUAAAACGCAAUCAAAUACAACUUUCAACAACGGAUCUCUUGGCUCUCGCAUCGAUGAAGAACGCAGCGAAAUGCGAUAAGUAAUGUGAAUUGCAGAUUUUCAGUGAAUCAUCGAAUCUUUGAACGCACCUUGCGCUCCUUGGUAUUCCGAGGAGCAUGCCUGUUUGAGUGUCAUUAAAUCCUCAACCCCACCGAUUUGUUUCGGGGGGAUUGGACUUGGAGCGUGCUGGCGAAGGUCGGCUCCUCUUUAAAUGCAUCAGUGGAGAGAAACUUGCCCCAGUGUGAUAAUCCUGUUGCGCUGUGGUAGGUGGAAAGUCCGCUUCUAACCGUCCUUCACGGGGACAAACAUCUCAAUUUGACCUCAAAUCAGGUAGGACUACCCGCUGAACUUAAGCAUAUCAU